UACGUAGGGUGCGAGCGUUGUCCGGAAUUAUUGGGCGUAAAGGGCUCGUAGGCGGUCUGUUGCGUCAGGAGUGAAAACUCGGGGCUUAACCCCGAGCCUGCUUCUGAUACGGGCAGACUAGAGGUAUGCAGGGGAGAACGGAAUUCCUGGUGUAGCGGUGAAAUGCGCAGAUAUCAGGAGGAACACCGGUGGCGAAGGCAGCUCGCUGGGACGUAACUGACGCUGAGGAGCGAAAGCAUGGGGAGCGAACAGG
rnacentral:rRNA from 1 species